rnacentral:rRNA from 1 species
GUCUUUGUAGCAAUACAAGGCAUACGGCUCAGUAACACGUAGUCAACCUACCUUAUAGACGGGGAUAACCUCGGGAAACUGAGAAUAAUACCCGAUAGAUCAUUAUGCCUGGAAUGGCUUAUGGUUAAAAUGAACUUCGCUAUAGGAUGGGACUGCGGUCUAUCAGCUUGUUGGUGAGGUAAUGGCCACCAAGGCUAUAACAGAUACGGGCUCUGAGAGGAGAAGCCCGGAGAUGGGUACUGAGACACGGACCCAGGUCCUAUGGGGCGCAGCAGGCGAGAAAACUUUGCAAUGUGCGAAAGCACGACGAGGUUAAUCCGAGUGUUUCCUGCUAAAGGAAUCUUUUGUUAGUCAUAAUACCACUAUCGAAUAAGGGGUGGGCAAGUUCUGGUGUCAGCCGCCGCGGUAAAACCAGCACCUCAAGUGGUCAGGAGGAUUAUUGGGCCUAAAGCAUCCGUAGCCUGCUUUGUUAGUUUUCGGUUAAAUCCAUAUGCUCAACAUAUGGGCUGCCGGGAAUACUGCAUAGCUAGGGAGUGGGAGAGGUAGACGGUACUCCGUAGGAAGGGGUAAAAUCCUUUGAUCUAUGGAUGACCACCUGUGGCGAAGGCGGUCUACCAGAACACGUCCAACGGUGAGGGAUGAAAGCUGGGGGAGCAAACCGGAUUAGAUACCCGGGUAGUCCCAGCUGUAAACGAUGCAGACUCGGUGAUGCAUUGGCUUGUGGCCAGUGCAGUGCCGCAGGGAAGCCGUUAAGUUUGCCGCCUGGGAAGUACGUACGCAAGUAUGAAACUUAAAGGAAUUGGCGGGGGAGCACCACAAGGGGUGAAGCCUGCGGUUCAAUUGGAGUCAACGCCAGAAAUCUUACCCGGAGAGACAGCAGAAUGAAGGUCAAGCUGAAGACUUUACCAGACAAGCUGAGAGGUGGUGCAUGGCCGUCGCCAGCUCGUGCCGUGAGAUGUCCUGUUAAGUCAGGUAACGAGCGAGAUCCUUGCCUCUAGUUGCCACCAUUACUCUCAGGAGUAGUGGGGCGAAUUAGCGGGACUGCCGUAGUAAAUACGGAGGAAGGAGAGGGCCACGGCAGGUCAGUAUGCCCUGAAACUCUGGGGCCACACGCGGGCUGCAAUGGUAGUGACAAUGGGUUCCGAAUCCGAAAGGAGGAGGUAUCCUCAACGCUACCACAGUUACACUGAGGGCUGCACUCGCCUCACAAUAUGAAUCCCUAGUACUGCGUGUC